AUGUUUCGGCCAGCACGGCUGUGCCGGCCGGCACCACUGCUUUGCCCCGCGCCGCUGCUUUGUCGGCGCCCUGGAGCCGCGGUGCUCCGUACAAAAUACACCGGUCUGGGUGCCCUUUUGGCUGGCAAUUGGAGCCACGGGAAGUCGCCCAUUCGCCGGUUCAAAAAGGGGACUGAGCAGAGAACCAGGACAGUAGAUUCCAGGGCAAAAAAAAAAAAAGCGCCACAAACCUCAGUGCCGCUGUUUAAACCAGCGCAAUACAGCCAGAUACUGUCGAAGCAGUCCCUCUGGAACGACCUGGCGAACUACAUAAGGAGCAGAAGGUGCUGAUGGAAGGGCCGCUCAACAACCUGCGCAAGAGCCUCAUGCAGUUCAGCAAGCCACGCAAGCUGGUCAACACCAUCAGCCCGAGGGCCCGCUUCAUGACUACGGCCAUGCAUGAUACCCAGGCCGUCAUCCCCAGCUCCGUCUAUGAUCUGAGCGGCCAGGGCCGGCCCUCCAGCACGUAGUUCCAGACCCACGACCAGAUCGGCAUGAUUAGCGCCGGCCGCAGCCACCUGGCUGCCAUGAACAUUUCCAUCCCCUUCAACCUGGUCACGACACCCACGCCGCUGCCCAGCUAUUUCGAACAAGCCAACCGGCCAGCUGCAGGCCGAGGCACCCCAAAAGGCAAGAUUGGUCGUGGGGGACGCCAGAAGAGCCGCUUUCGGCUUCCUGGGCCCAGCCAGACCAACCUCCCCAACAGCCAAGCCUGCCAGGAUGUGGCGUCACAGCCCUUCUUGCGGGGCGCCCUGACGCAGGGCUACAUCUCCAGGAGCCAGCCCUGCCAGAUGAGCCAGCCCGGCCUCACCCAGCCGCAGCUGUCCCAGGACAGUUACCUUGGUGACGAGUUUACAUCACAGAUCCACGAGGCGUUCUCACAGGACUCCACGUACCAGGGAGAGCUGGCUUACGAGUGCGGCGGGGUGAGUGGCUGUCACAGUAUUAGAAGGCGGCGGCGGAAGAGCUAAGCAAUGUGGCUUAGUCCAUCAGCAUCUUAUUCUGGGUAAUACAAAAUAAAAAUAAACGGAUACCUGUUUUCCACAGCUAAAACGGAAGCACCACUGUGUGAGCGACAGGAAGGGAGAGCGCACUACGCAGAGGAGCC